GGGGGAACCCUGACCGAGCAACGCCGCGUGAGUGAAGAAGGUUUUCGGAUCGUAAAGCUCUGUUGUUAAGGAAGAACGUGUGUGAGAGUGGAAAGUUCACACAGUGACGGUACUUAACCAGAAAGGGACGGCUAACUACGUGCCAGCAGCCGCGGUAAUACGUAGGUCCCGAGCGUUGUCCGGAUUUAUUGGGCGUAAAGCGAGCGCAGGCGGUUAGAUAAGUCUGAAGUGAAAGGCAGUGGCUCAACCAUUGUAGGCUUUGGAAACUGUUUAACUUGAGUGCAGAAGGGGAGAGUGGAAUUCCAUGUGUAGCGGUGAAAUGCGUAGAUAUAUGGAGGAACACCGGUGGCGAAAGCGGCUCUCUGGUCUGUAACUGACGCCGAGGCUCGAAAGCGUGGGGAGCGAACAGGAUUAGAUACCCUGGUAGUCCACGCCGUAAACGAUGAGUGCUAGGUGUUAGGUCCUUUCCGGGACUUAGUGCCGCAGCUAACGCAUUAAGCACUCCGCCUGGGGAGUACGACCGCAAGGUUGAAACUCAAAGGAAUUGACGGGGGCCCGCACAAGCGGUGGAGCAUGUUGCUUAAUUCGAAGCAACGCGAAGAACCUUACCAGGUCUUGAC
rnacentral:rRNA from 1 species